rnacentral:lncRNA from 12 species
GGAGCACGCUGAUAUCUGGGGAUGAUCAUUCAGACAGGUCCAGCUGCAAUCUUUCUAAUCACUGCUGUGAAAUUCUCUAUUUCACACAGGAAACAACCCAAGGACAGAACCUGCUGGAUUCUAACCCUGCCUCCUACCAAGGCUCCCUCCGUGUUUAAGACAGGAGAGGAGAAGAUUCAGAUGAGAGCAACCCUAGGCCACAAUGUUUGUGCAGAGGUGACAAGUGUGGACAGUGUUUACAGGAAUCAUGUCCACACACACAUCUACACAAGUUCUUAAAACUGUGAUAUCAGCAAAUACCUGGAUUUCUGCCCUGGAGAUGUUUUAACAGCAGUAGAAAAUAUCAGAGUAACUGAUCUCACACCUCAGUAGGAAUAAAUCUGAAAAAUGCCAUUGAAUACCACUGAAUGCAGGUGAAAUCUCUGGGAGUUUUUACACCACCUGCAAAUCUCAC